AACUCUCAACCCCCUUGUUUUGUAAUGAGACACGUGUGGGCUUGGAUUAUGGCUGUCUGUCGGCGUAAUUGCCGGCUCAGCUGAAAUAUACGAGCAACCCAUUUUCGAUAGGAACGGUUUGACUCGGCGUAAUAACUAUUUCGCUGAGGACGUUUCUGAAAGCAGUGGUGCUUCUAGUGCAAUAAUCAUUUAAGC
rnacentral:misc_RNA from 1 species